UGGCUGGAGUGUGUCAGCAGUUCCUGCAAGAGGAAGGCAUUGAUGCUAUGGACCGGCCUGCCGGUUCCCCAGACCUGAAUCCAAUUGCGCACAUCUGGGACAUUAUGUCUCGCUCCCUCAGGAUUUUUUCACACUGAAAGAUUUACAAUGGCUAUUAUGCCCGGCUACUUUACAUGCUAGCAAAAUGUAACUUUGAUUUUUUAAUAACAACGUAGGUAUCAUGCAAAGCCUUUAUUUAAUGGAUGAGUCGAACAUAGCCAUAUUCCCAUCAUCGACGGGGAGCUUCAACACCUUUGAGCUAACAUCACGUGCUCAUUACGAAAUUAACGGAGAAGUUGCAACUGCAGAUCCAAGCACAGCACCACCGCCAGCGCCUCCACCACCCCCGUUUGCAGGCGCCACCCAGCGCUUCUCUUUUUCACGGCCAAGUGCUGCUGGUGGUUCACCUGCUGCCUCUGCACCUCCAAGAGCCGCGAUGACUCGCUCUUUUCAGAGGUGAAUGCCAAACUAAGACCAAGCAGAAUGGUGGUGAUCCGUUUCAUGGAGAGUGAGGCCACCGUGCAGCGCAUACUCAGCAAAGUCCAAGAUGCGCUUGGCAGCUAUGACACGUUAAUCCUCACAGACACACAGGGGAACAAAAUUCUUGAUUCUGAAGGAACAAGAGCUGACAUCGGCGAAAGGCGGGGUACACCCCGGACAGGUCGCCAGUCCAUCG